UGUGAUAUUAUCACUUAAAAUAUACUAGUUAUUUUCAUGUCUGUAUGUCCUGGUAGACCAAAACCCGUUUUUGGACACUCUUUGAAAAAGCCAAAAAUGUUUGUAUAUGUUUUACAUUUUUCUUAUUCUACUGAGAAUGAAGGUAGUUGGUAGAUAUUUCCUAAAUACACAGUAAUAUCUUAUGGAGGACAAAAGGCUGUGGAUGAUAAAAGUAACAUACUUACCUUCUCUUUAUUAUAUUACUUUUCUUAAUGAUGUACUCAUCUUGCAUACUGUGGUCUGUACAAGAAUUGGGGUAAUAUUCUCACGGUAAUUUUGUCUGUACAUUUUUAUUAAACUGAUAUAUUUUUUUCUUUAUGAUGAUUUGGACUU
rnacentral:lncRNA from 1 species